GUCAUCUUAACCUUGCUCCCACUGGCUGAGCUAGGUCUAGAUGGCUGAGCAACUGGGGCUGCUGGUUCUGUAGGUGGUGGAGGUGGUGCAACAUUUUCUAAGGUAGGGUUUGCUGGAUUUGGAUAGUAAGGUGGGGGUGGAUACAUUGGGUACUGUGAGUAUGGUGGGUAGUAUGGUGGGUAGUAUGGUGGGUAUGGCAUCUGUGUGGGAUAAGGGGUGAAGCUAGGGUAAUCCGAUGUACCUCCCAUCGAAUACCCGGG
rnacentral:lncRNA from 1 species